AACGCUGGCGGCGUGCCUAACACAUGCAAGUCGAACGCGAAAGUCCCGCAAGGGAUGAGUAGAGUGGCAAACGGGUGAGUAACACGUGGGUGACCUGCCUUCGAGCGGGGGAUAACGUCCCGAAAGGGACGCUAAUACCGCAUGACAUCCUGCCUUUGAAGAGGUGGAGAUCAAAGCUGGGGAUCGCAAGACCCAGCACUCGAAGAGGGGCCCGCGCCUGAUUAGCUAGUUGGUGGGGUAACGGCUCACCAAGGCGACGAUCAGUAGCCGGCCUGAGAGGGCGGACGGCCACACUGGGACUGAGACACGGCCCAGACUCCUACGGGAGGCAGCAGUGGGGAAUUGUUCGCAAUGGGCGCAAGCCUGACGACGCAACGCCGCGUGGAGGACGAAGACCUUCGGGUCGUAAACUCCUUUCGAUCGAGACGAAUGGCCUCCGGGUGAACAAUCCGGAGGAAUGUCGGU
rnacentral:rRNA from 1 species